ensembl:lncRNA
CAAUUAGGCUCUCUCCCCAUUCCGGUGGCUUUAUGAGAGAAAAAGAGGACACACAUACUCACACAAGAAAAGUCUCUGUUACCCAGACUGGAGCAUAGUGGCAAUAAUGUAGACCACUACACCCUUGAACGCCUAGCCUCAAGCAAUUCUCACACCUGCCAAGUGACUGCCAAGUGACUGGGACUACAGGCAUGUGCCACCAUACCUGCUGAUUUUCAAAUUUUUUGCGGAGAUGGGGGUCUGGCCUCAUUCCUCGGUUCAAGACCAGAUGUUGAACUCCUGGUCUUCAGGGAUUCUCUUGCCUCUACUUUGCAGAGCAGUGGCACUAUGGGUGUUAGCCACCUCACCCAGGAACAGAAGACAGGGAAAUACUGGAGAGAAGAGUGAAGUUCCGUUGGCAAAGGCCUCACUCUAAAGCCUGAAAACCAGUGGUUCUGAACGAGGACAGGCGUUUCUGUUUUCACUCCCCAAAAGUUGCCUUAUGGCUUGCCAUGCCACCCAUCCUGUCCCCACAUAAAGCCCUAACCCCAUGCUCCUGAAGAGACCCACAAGCAGGGAGACAAGGAGGCAAGCAGACCAGCAGGCCAGAAGGCCAGUGGAUCAGUGACAGUGAAAUGAUGUGGCAGAGAAAUCGAGAAGAGGACGAACAUCUGGACGAUGUGGGGACUUCAGCUGGGGAAGUCAGAGAAGAGUUGAGCUGUUGGGUGGCCCAACUCCAGGGGAAGGUCAUUUCCCACUUCAUCCCCCUUUUCAGCUUCCCAUCCAUCUCACGGAGAGCCACCUCCACCACUCAGUAAAACCUUUCACUCAUCCUUUGAGCCCAUGUGUGAUCAG